rnacentral:rRNA from 1 species
GGCGUCCUCAGGGCGUCCGAGUUGUAAUCUAUAGAGGCGUUUUCCGUGCCGGACCGUGUCCAAGUUCCUUGGAACAGGAUAUCAAAGAGGGUGACAAUCCCGUACUUGACACGACGACCGGUGCUCUGUGAUACGUCUUCUACGAGUCGAGUUGUUUGGGAAUGCAGCUCAAAAUGGGUGGUGAGUUCCAUCUAAAGCUAAAUAUUGGCGAGAGACCGAUAGCGAACAAGUACCGUGAGGGAAAGAUGAAAAGCACUUUGGAAAGAGAGUUAAACAGUACGUGAAAUUGUUGAAAGGGAAACGAUUGAAGUCAGUCGUGACCGAGAGGCUCAGCCGGUUCUGCCGGUGUAUUCCCCUCGGUCGGGUCAACAUCAGUUUUGUCCGAUGGAUAAGGACGGUAGGAAGGUGGCACCCUCGGGUGUGUUAUAGCCUGCCGUCGCAUACAUCGGGUGAGACUGAGGAACGCAGCUCGCCUUUAUGGCCGGGGUUCGCCCACGUCCGAGCUUAGGAUGUUGACAUAAUGGCUUUAAACGACCCGUC